rnacentral:rRNA from 1 species
UACGUAGGGAGCAAGCGUUGGCCGGAAUCAUUGGGCGUAAAGCGCGCGUAGGUGGCUUCGUAAGUCCGUUGUGAAAGUCAAAGGCUCAACCUUUGAAAGCCGAUGGAUACUGCGGAGCUAGAGUACGGAAGAGGCGAGUGGAAUUCCUGGUGUAGCGGUGGAAUGCGCAGAUAUCAGGAGGAACACCAAUAGCGAAGGCAGCUCGCUGGGACGUUACUGACACUGAGGCGCGAAAGCCAGGGGAGCGAACGGG